rnacentral:rRNA from 1 species
AUACGGAGGGUCCAAGCGUUAUCCGGAAUCAUUGGGUUUAAAGGGUCCGUAGGCGGACUAAUAAGUCAGGGGUGAAAUCCCACAGCUUAACUGUGGAACUGCCUUUGAUACUGUUAGUCUUGAGUUAUAUGGAAGUAGAUAGAAUGUGUAGUGUAGCGGAGAAAUGCUUAGAGAUUACACAGAAUACCGAUUGCGAAGGCAGUCUACUACAUAUAUACUGACGCUAAUGGACGAAAGCGUGGGGAGCGAACAGGAUUAGAAACCCCAGUAGUCC